rnacentral:rRNA from 1 species
UACAGAGGUCUCAAGCGUUGUCCGGAAUCAUUGGGCGUAAAGAGCGUGUAGGUGGCUCGGUAAGUCCGCUGUGAAAGUCCAGGGCUCAACCCUGGAAUGCCGGUGGAAACUGUCGAGCUAGAGUCCGGAAGAGGCGAGUGGAAUUCCUGGUGUAGCGGUGAAAUGCGCAGAUAUCAGGAGGAACACCAAUGGCGAAGGCAGCUCGCUGGGACGUGACUGACGCUGAGACGCGAAAGCGUGGGGAGCAAACAGG